rnacentral:rRNA from 1 species
UACGUAGGGUGCGAGCGUUAAUCGGAAUUACUGGGCGUAAAGCGUGCGCAGGCGGUUCGUUAAGUCAGAUGUGAAAGCCCCGGGCUCAACCUGGGAACUGCAUUUGAAACUGGCGGGCUUGAGUGUGGCAGAGGGGGGUGGAAUUCCCAGUGUAGAGGUGAAAUUCGUAGAUAUUGGGAAGAACACCGAUGGCGAAGGCAGCCAUCUGGACCGACACUGACGCUGAGGCGCGAAAGCGUGGGGAGCAAACAGG